rnacentral:rRNA from 1 species
UACAGAGGUCCCGAGCGUUGUUCGGAUUCACUGGGCGUAAAGGGUGCGCAGGUGGCGUGGUAAGUUUGAUGUGAAAGCCCCGGGCUUAACCCGGGAACGGCAUUGAAUACUACCAGGCUUGAGGGUUGGAGGGGGACUGGAAUUCUUGGUGUAGCAGUGAAAUGCGUAGAUAUCAAGAGGAACACCGGUGGCGAAGGCGAGUCCCUGGACAAUACCUGACACUGAGAAGCGAAAGCAUGGGGAGCGAACAGG